CAUACACACAAACACACACACACACACACACACACACAGGGCUCAUAUUUUAGACCACAGGGCUAAUGUGCAAUAUCACAUACAGAAAACCACAGGUCACUGCCUAAGUUGAGCUGUCAACUUUCGCCAUGCGCCUAUCACAACUACCUCUCUUCUUCACUUCCUCACACACACACACACACACACACACACACACACACACACACACACACACUGUCAACACAAACAACCAACUUUUUUAAAAGCUAUACACUGAUGUGAAAGGACCUUGAUGUAAUGUCAAUGUUUACACAGAUCUUUUAAGGCAGGUAAUGCUGAGACUGCACAUAAAGAGGGAGAUGCCACAAGGGUGUGUGAGACAACAGAAGCAUCACUGAAUGUGAAAAACAGCAAGCGAUAAGUGCGCUUGGGCAGGUGCUUACCCUCUGGCGGCAUCAGGACUCGGUUGUUCUGUGUGCACCAGCCCACAGGGUGCAGGUCUGCCGUCAUGACGUCGCACCAAAAGUCCGCCUUACGGUCAUCUCCGUAGCCACAGUAGCGUAGCAACAGCAGCUGGCCACAGGUGGUGAUGAUGGUGACCACCCAGUAGGUGUCCGGGCUGCCCUUAUUGGCCACCUCCAGCUUCAUGCCGGGCUGGAAGCUGCUCUGCAGGCUGAUCUCCACCUGGAACCACCAAUCAGAAAUCAGCACAGUAAGCUCCUGAUGAGACCACAGCUGGACAUGGUAUAGUGUAAAGGCCACAGUUGGUCAGACAAACAUCUUGGCUACCACCACUUCACAUCCAUAUCACUGUGUCAUCUUCAUACACUGACAAGAAGUUAUUUGGCAGACGCUUUCGUUCCAGCAGACUUGAGGAAGAGAUUCUGACAGUGGCAAGGUACCUAGAACUCGGAACAGGAAGUACAGAACCCUGGAGAUUCUGGCAGUGUCUUCAGACAGUAAGCGCAGAACCCUGAGCUCACCUGAGACCUGCCGCUCCAGCUUCCCAUUGGACGGACUUGUGCUUGGCCCACCCGAUGACAUCAUCAACCGCUCCUGCGCGCCAGCUGACGACUGCAUCCUGCAGCGGUGGUUGUCGUGGUAACCUCUUGUCACCAACCCGAUUCUCAGAGCAUGCAACGCCGUCGCCCAGCCUACAAUGCAAAGAGGUCAAAGGUCAGGUCACCUUGUCUGUCAACAAGAAGAACACAUGACCCAUGUCGGAGUUUGCCUACUGCAGCUUACAUUCAUAGUACUUUCUGUUGGGUAGCAAAAACAGUUUUAACAGGUA